GCGCCUCUGACGUCACGGCUCGGCUGGACUCCCAUGAGCCCGGGUCUCCUCCUGGACGUCCGGUCCAUCCCAAUGGGAGGAACUUGCCGACAGUGAAGAAACCUCUCACAGCAUGGACUGCUGAAAUGGUGUUCUGUGACCUGAAGGCUGUUGAAUAUACGGAGUGUUUUGCGUUCACAAAGAAAAACUUAAAGGAUUCCUUUGACAAAGCACUAUUGACUGCCUCGGAGACUCUGGAACUGAAGGGCCAGCUUUAAGAAAAGAAACUUCCAUCCUGCUACAGCUGACUGCUUCUGCUCUGCCCUGAACUCCCUGAAGAAAGGACAUGGUCUCUAGGCAAUGUUGUAAUCCCUGAAGUACCUGUGUUAAGCUUGGUCUUUGUUUCUCUAAAAAGUCUCUGAAUUCAGCUGAUAGAGUUUGGGCCAAACCAAUGAGUGAAGGCUCUGAGCCAAUUUAAUGUACCAUUGUCAAAAUGUAUAAUUUAAAUGAUGUUACUUUUUUUGUACUACGAAUGCUUAUAAAGUGUUAGAGAAAACACUUUGAUGUCCAAAGGGUUCCCUGUGUAAAUAAUGUCUCUUGGUUGACAAAUGAAAAAAUUCUUUUCUUGACGGUUUUAUUGCAAAGUUAGCAGAUGCUUGCGAGCAGUUGUGACUAAUAAACACUGACAAAAUUUAGAGCCUUCUUUCCAAAAAAAAAAGAGAAAAGUUUGAGAACAAUGAAGAGGAAUUUACCACAAUGAAUCCCUUCGGCAGUCAUAGAAAAAAUGUUGCCUCUUAGCAAGUAAAGGACUAUGUUUCUUAUAAAGCUACCAUGUCCUGUAACUCUUGUCAAAAGUUGACCUGUUUACCUAAGGUAAGAAAGAUCAUACCUUUGGGGCUCUUGAAACGUAUCUUUAUUAUCCUUUAUUCAGUGAAUAGUUCACACACCCAAGUGGUUAUACUUGAUACCUCUGAAUCUAUUGUGGGAAUAGAUAUGUUGCGUAUAUGUAAUACUUCUCUUGAUUGUUAGGAGUGUACCCAGGGGGAAAUGCCACAAGUAACAGUGCUAGUGGGGUGAGUACAUGACUGGCAGCCUACCUGGGUCUUCCAGCCCAGUUAUGUGAUACCAGUAGAGCAGUACAGGGUGCCAGGUGAAUUGAGGAGAGGCAAUGAGGAGAUAACUAUACUAAUGAAGUGGUGGUAAGGGGAUACAUAAGGCAUCUACCUAACAGGCAAUAUGGACUGCCCUCCCUUUUUUUGAACUGGUUAGUUCUAAUGAGCCUUUUGAGCUUCAAAUGUCAGGGCUUGACAGUUAUGUAGACUGCAUCUAUAGCACUAGGCAGGGGUGCCCUCUAGGGUUUUGGACACAGCAUUUUCCUACCACCACUGCCUGGUAUACUCCAUUGGAGGGGCAAUUAUUGGCCUUUUACUGCAUGCCAGUAGACAGUGAGAAGCUAACUUAGUGAUAGCAUUCUCUGACAUGCCCAUUCAGGAAUGGGUUAAAAAUAAAAAUGCCAACGAAGUUGGUAUUGCUCAGCAAGCAUGUGCUAUUAAGUAGAAAUGAUGUAUCCAGGAAAGAAGUAAGACUUAGUGUAUUAUUUUUCUAUUGCUGCUGUAACAAUACAGCACAAACCUAGUGGCUUAAAACAACACAAGUUUAUUGUCUUACAGUUCUGAAAGCUAGAAGUCCAAAAUGGGUUUCAGUAGACUGAAAUAAAGGUGUUUGCAGGGCUGCCCUCCACCUUGAGAUUCUAAGGAAAAAUCAGUUUCCUUAUGUUUUGAAAUUUCUGGAGGGUUUCCUUCUUCCUUUGCUCAUGACCUACUCCUCACAUCAUUCCAACCUCUGGCUUCCCAUCAUUACAUCUCCUACUUCCUCUUCUGUAGUCAAAUCUCCCUCUGGUAUCUUUCUAAUAAGGACACCUUUUGAUUAUAUUUAGGGCCCAAAUGGAUAAUCCCCAUCUCAAGAUUCCUAACUUAGUCACAUCUGCAAAGUUCCUUUUACCACAUAAAGUAACAUUCACAGGUUACAGUGAUUAGGACCUGGAACACUCUGGGGUCUGUUAUUCAACGUACCGCAUUGGGCAUUAAUGUAAUCUCAUACUUACCUAGUCAUCACCGAGAAGUGGCUAAUUCAGAUGCAAGAUCUAUGCCAUCACCUCAGGCUUCUUAAAGGCCUGGGUACACUAAGGUUCCUGAGGAUGCCUAAGCCUGUGAAUAUGCUAGCUAGGUUAAAUGUCAGUGGGGUUGUGUAGGAGAGUUAACAUAGCAGAUCUGAGCCUGCUUAUACUAAGGCUGGUCUUUUGCUGGUGUCUGAGAUGUGAUUUGGAGAGGUUCCCACCAUGCACAGAUAUGAUAAGAGUGCUCAUUGUACAUAAAAUGUUUAUACAACUAGUGUGGAUUAUGCUGAAUACCUACUUUCCUCCUGGGAGUCUGGAGUUUUGAUAUGUUAGACAGAAAGUGAUUACAUGACCAGAUCCCCAGUAAAGCCUUGGCCACUGAGUCUCUAAUGAGCUUCCCCAGCAAACAACAUUUCAUAUGUGUUGGUACAACUUGUCCAUGUAUGACUGCUGGGAGAGGACUCUUGGAAACUUAUGUCUCCAGGCUUUGCUACAUGUUCCUUUUCUGUUUGCUGUGCUUUUUUUGUAUCUUUUCACUGUAAUAAAUCUUAGCUGCCAGUACAUUUAUAUGCUACAUUGUCAGUCCUCCUAGUGAAUUAUCAAGCCUUUGGGGAGGGUGGUCUUGAGGACUGCUAACUUAGUUGGUGUCAGAAACCAGGUUUGCCAGCCUAACUCUGACUCACUGAAUUAUGGCAAAAGGAUUGCUUGAGGAUAGUAAAGAUGAAGGAGUGAGGGAUGACAAACCUUUAGUGCUAGGCUGGCUAUUGAAUCAUUCAUGGGAUGAAACAGUAUUUUUUGAGAGGUAGAAGUUGCUUGUGGAAUUUGGAAAUGACAGAUCCAACUCCAGGAGAGCUGGCUUCCUGGAACUCCUGGCUAUUUUUGGCUGUGCUAGGUUAAGUGAGGGGUGGGGUAGGGACUUGCCUCCUGGUGAUGCCUUUUUGUAUUUUGUUCUAUCCUACAUGUGGAGGAGAAAGGGUGAAAAAGAAAGGAGAAAGGUGAAUUUGGAUGACCCCCAAAUAUUAAGUUUAUAUUGCUCUUUUUUCCAAGUGGAAGGAAAUAAUGUUAGAUCAUUUCCUAGGGCUGGAGCAAAGCAAACCAGAGAGAGAAGAGAGAAAAAAACAACUCCAGCUAUUUCUUCAGUCUAGUUACCAUCACUGUUACAGUAGCCCAAGCCUCCCUCCCCCACCCCCAGCUCUAGCUGAGAGUCUUCUUUGGUAGCUCCAAUGUUAAUCCUGCAAAUGUUGAAUUUACUAGUAGACGGUUGAGUAAAUUUCCAUUGAGAGGGGGCACUUAAACAGCAUUGCAUUUUGUGGCUGUUGCAUCCCGAUGUAGGAUAACAAUUGAUGGAAAAUAUAUGCUUGUAAUUUCAUAAAUGCUAGAAGGAUCAUCCCAGUUAGGGAAAGCUGAAAAGAAAAAUUGUUAGUGGGACACACAAAUAAAUAAUUGCUUUUUGUCACUGGUGGAUGGAUUUUUUUUUUUUUGAGUGUUAAAAUAAGUCUCUGUAAGUGAUGAUGUUUAUUAUACUUUUUUGCCUAUUAUAACCUCUGGGGGAAAAAGGAAACAACAUGAAGAGAGAGGCACUCUCCAGAUAUAAAUACAUUUUUGGAGUUUUACAAAGCAGAUUUGAAUUGCUCAUGAGCUUUUGUAAAGUCAGAUGUCUGACCCAUAAUGGCUGCUAAUUUUUCUAGCCUGAUAUGCAUAUUUUGGAGUGGGUCUCAGAGUUCCCAUUAUGGCUCAGUGGAAACAAAUCUGACUAGUAUCCA